rnacentral:rRNA from 1 species
AUUGAACGCUGGCGGCAGGCUUAACACAUGCAAGUCGAGCGGGGUGAUGGUGCUUGCACUAUCACUUAGCGGCGGACGGGUGAGUAAUGCUUAGGAAUCUGCCUAUUAGUGGGGGACAACAUCUCGUAAGGGAUGCUAAUACCGCAUACGUCCUACGGGAGAAAGCAGGGGAUCACUUGUGACCUUGCGCUAAUAGAUGAGCCUAAGUCGGAUUAGCUAGUUGGUGGGGUAAAGGCCUACCAAGGCGACGAUCUGUAGCGGGUCUGAGAGGAUGGUCCGCCACACUGGAACUGAGACACGGCCCAGACUCCUACGGGAGGCAGCAGUGGGGAAUAUUGGACAAUGGGGGGAACCCUGAUCCAGCCAUGCCGCGUGUGUGAAGAAGGCCUUAUGGUUGUAAAGCACUUUAAGCGAGGAGGAGGCUCUUUUGGUUAAUACCCAAGAUGAGUGGACGUUACUCGCAGAAUAAGCACCGGCUAACUCUGUGCCAGCCGCCGCGGUAA